UACGGGGGGGGCAAGCGUUGUUCGGAAUUACUGGGCGUAAAGGGCUCGUAGGUGGCCAACUAAGUCAGACGUGAAAUCCCUCGGCUUAACCGGGGAACUGCGUCUGAUACUGGAUGGCUUGAGUUCGGGAGAGGGAUGCGGAAUUCCCGGUGUAGCGGUGAAAUGCGCAGAUAUCGGGAGGAACACCGGUGGCGAAGGCGGUUCUCUGGGCCUGUUCUGACGCUGAGGAGCGAAAGCGUGGGGAGCGAACAGG
rnacentral:rRNA from 1 species